rnacentral:rRNA from 1 species
GUCUAUGGCUAUGCUACCCUGAACAAGCCCAAUCCUGUCUGAUCUCAGAAGCUAAGCAGGGUCGGGCCUGGUUAGUACUUGGAUGGGAGACCACCUAGGAAGACCAGGUGCUGUAGGCA